rnacentral:rRNA from 1 species
CCGGCAUCUACCGGCGGUGCAGCUAGGGGAAGCGAAUAUUGACGCGGUUGCGCUUGGGAUCCAGCGGGAGCAGGUAAGGGGGGAUAAAGGGAGAAGCGGGGGAAGAAGAAAGCGAGCUUAAGCUCGAACCUUUGAGAGUGCCACUGGCGCGAGCAGUAGCAGUAAUGGUGCUGGUGGCAGCAGCGGAAGCGCACCCUCCUGCAGGUCCUCCGGGCGGUACCUGCAGAAGUAGGCAGGGCUUGUGCCUUGCCUCGGCUCCACCGGGCACGCGAGCGGUAGCUCGGUCUGAAGCAGCGCAUGCAGCAGCAGCAGGCAGUAGCUAAUGGCAGCAAGGCCAGUUGGGGCUGAGAGGGGCUGGAGUGGUAGACGUAGUGUUGGGGCACUGCUACGACUACGGGACACCAGCUGAUGCAGUGACUGCUGGGGAGGAAGAACAGACUCGUUGGUCUACGACCUCAGGUCCUCGAUCUCUAGGGCUCCUACUAAGAUGUACCUCAAGCCGAAGCUCCUCAUCGAUCCUCCAGGGUCCGUCCUCCGGAACGGAAAAGCUAGCAACGAUGAAAACACGAUCGGAAGAAUUCCGUUUGAACAAAUUGAAUACAGACAUGAGUCUAUAACAACGAAGGCGACUGAGCAGAUACUAGCUCGUUAACAUAAGCUCGGGAGCUCCGGGGACCGAACAUAAUACUACGAA